rnacentral:lncRNA from 1 species
UUCUUUCCCCUAGCAGAGGUAACCUUUGUGGUUCGUUCUGGUUGUUGGCGGAUUUUGCGGUCUUCUACCUAGUACCCGGUAGUUGUAAAUCCUUUUGUUCUCGCUGUAUUCCUCAGCAGAUUUUCGUGGUCUUCUACCCAGUAAUUGGUAGAUGUAAACCCUUGUUUCCCCAUUAGAGUUUGUGGUCUUCUACCUGGUAGCCGGUAGUUGUAAA